GAUGAACGCUGGCGGCGUGCUUAACACAUGCCAGUCGAACGAGAAAUGUAGACGGACACCUUCGGGCGGAAGCCUUCAUUUCGAGUGGCGGACGGGUGAGUAACGCGUGGGUAACCUGCCUCAUACAGGGGGAUAACAGUUGGAAACGACUGUUAAUACCGCAUAAGACCACAGCAUCGCAUGAUGCGGGGGUAAAAACUCCGGUGGUAUGAGAUGGACCCGCGUUCGAUUAGCCAGUUGGCGGGGUAACGGCCCACCAAAGCGACGAUCGAUAGCCGGUCUGAGAGGAUGACCGGCCACAUUGGGACUGAGACACGGCCCAGACUCCUACGGGAGGCAGCAGUGGGGAAUAUUGCACAAUGGGGGAAACCCUGAUGCAGCGACGCCGCGUGAGUGAAGAAGUACUUCGGUAUGUAAAGCUCUAUCAGCAGGGAAGAAAAUGACGGUACCUGAGUAAGAAGCCCCGGCUAACUACGUG
rnacentral:rRNA from 1 species